rnacentral:rRNA from 1 species
GAGUUUGAUCUUGGCUCAGAUUGAACGCUGGCGGCAUGCCUUACACAUGCAAGUCGAACGGCAGCACGGGAGCUUGCUCCUGGUGGCGAGUGGCGAACGGGUGAGUAAUGCAUCGGAACGUAUCCUGGAGUGGGGGAUAACGUAGCGAAAGUUACGCUAAUACCGCAUAUUCUGUGAGCAGGAAAGCGGGGGACCUUCGGGCCUCGCGCUCUUGGAGCGGCCGAUGUCGGAUUAGCUAGUUGGUGAGGUAAGGGCUCACCAAGGCGACGAUCCGUAGCAGGUCUGAGAGGAUGAUCUGCCACACUGGAACUGAGACACGGUCAGACUCCUACGGGAGGCAGGCAGUGGGGAAGUUUUAGGUACGAAUAGGGGGCGAACCCU